CGUAUAAAUGGGAAUCAAAAGUAACAAAUAAAAUAUUACAAAGCGUACGAUGAUAGCCGUUGAAACGAGAAAAUAGUGGUAACAAUAGGACGAAAAAUUGCAAUUAAAAUACGCGCAUCGUUAUUCGAACAGGCAACAUGUUCAAUGAUCUACAUGCGAAGAUAGAUGUUUAACAUGUCUAUAAAUAAAAUGUAUAUUUUACAUCGAUUCUACAGAGUACUAAUGUAAGCAUGUUUUCGAUGAGUAGGCUGAUCACUCGCCAACUGUCACACAGGCGACGGUGUAGACACGUACAGAACGUGCGAUUUAUUUUAAUUAAUUUUAAACGACACGACUCGAUGCAAAUAUCUACACGAAAAUUCCUGAAUCGAAAUCCUCUGUACUACAGGAAUGAUUCACUGGUAAUAGCCUGGAACAGAGGCGUCUUUAACACGGAGGAGGCGCCUCUGUACAGUAAAGAAGGCGCCUCGAAUCCAUCAGAAGAGGCGCCUGGAUCAUUACGUCAUGCAUUUGCAUUGCACGGAAUGUAAAACCCGAUUUACGAUCUUGAACGUACGACCGUGUCAGUAAUUACGCUCGUUGAAAUGAUUGAAUGUAUCGUCGAGAAAUACGCUGCUAAUUACCGUCGGUGAAAUAUCGUCGUCGUCGUUGCCUCGUUGUCAUUUCCUACGUGGCUUUCCUGCAUAACGCUUCUAUUCGAAUAAACAUAAUCGUUCGAUAUGUGAAACGAUGCGACUGCUGAAACGACACGGUCGUAUAAAUCAUUCUGAGUACCUUUUAAUUCAAUUAACUUCGACAGUUUUACGAUAGUAGAUAUACACUCUACGGCGAUCGACGUAGUAAGGAAGAGAGGAGAAAAGUUAGAGAUAGGCUCGAAGGAGGAAAAUAAUCGUUGGCGCGAGAUCGCUUUGCCUGGCGAUUUUGCAAAUUUGAUAUUUCCAUCUUUUAUUACAAACUCCUGUCGAACGAGCUUCGACGAGCACUUAUUUCUAACUGGGUAGGAGGAAACUUUUGAAACCGGAAACAAUUAACAAGAAUAGGAUGUCGUUUUCCAAACAGGGUCACUUUGUACGUUAAAAUCCUUUUAACGGCAGGAAACGUCGUGCAUUAGACCUCUUAAUGUAGUUACCUAAGUCACUCAAGUUAUAGAUCCGAUCGAUAAAUUGUCUUAAGAAGUUCGUACAAUCCGGUAUCGUUCGUAGAUUCCAUCUUUUACAUAAAUAUUAUUAAAAAUACACUUAUUACACUUUAUGCUAUGUACUUUAAAAUAUACCUGAAGGAUUUUCUAUAUAAUUUUGUCUGACGCCGUUUCCACUCUUAAGAGGGAAGCCAAGGAAGCAAUUUUUAUACAAUUUUCAAGAUAAUUCUCUCUUAAAAGCAUCGACGUGUUAAUUUUCCAACGAGGACGUGUAUAUGUACGCGUGUACACGCUCCGAAAAAGCACAUUCGAUUUAGCCUGCCUACGCUGUGACUUCUAAGAACGACAACCAAGAAACCGAACUUCGCACAAUCUUCGAGGAAUAUAAUUCAUCCUCGAUACCACGAACGUAUUAAACGUUAUUACUUAUCGGCAGAGGUAGAUAUAUGGUCCAUUAAAAAUACGUUUCCGACUGCCGUAAGAAGCUAUAAAAUCAAAUUCGAUGUUCACAAGUGGGCGGCGUGUUCGAUAAGCAAAUAAAAGGCAAACGAUCGAGAAGCGAGAUAUAACGGUGUCAAAAGGUGGCCGAUCGAGAGCCGCCGGUUUGUAAUAACGGAAUUCCCUCGAAACGAAGACUGUCGGACCGAUCCAUCCAGCAGAUAAUCGUAACCGGAGGUGGCGCCCGAUUGGUAGCACGCACCCUCGUUCCUCGAGAAUGCGUUACACCGCGUGCACGCAACGCGAUGCAAUAUAUGUACGCAUAAUAGGCAGAGUGCAACGCGGUGUAGCGUAGAAUAAUCGGGGUUACGCGUUGAAUGCUAACACGAACGAGGAACGUGCGCUCGACGAUUGCACGCUUGGCGCCACCGUGGACGCGAUUCAAGAAAACGACGCACGCGACCGUCAAAUUGUGCUGUAAUCACAUUCGAUUGCAUCCAAUCGUAUCUCUCCCGCUCUUUCCUUUCCCUCCUUCUUUUUUCUUCCCUUUUUACGACCAGAGGAAUUACUCGUGAGUUUUUCUUCGCUUCUAAAUGACUCUAUCCUUUUUUACGCGCGUUUCUUUCGCUGUUAUUAAUCGUAGGAAUUAAAGUUACAAGAGUUAAAGCAAGUGGCUGCAGCGAAGAAAAAGAGAAAGAAGUAAAUUCUGGCCUCUUGAGAAUUGUGUCGUGAUGAAACUUAACGUUGAACGGUGAUUAACGUGUUUGUCGUCGAUUGAAUUUUUAUUUCCUGUGCUUUAUGGCGUAUCGUGUAGCGUAUCUAUAUUAAUCUAAGAAAAGAAAAAAGAAAGUUCGUCUAUUUAAGAAAUCGAACGUCGUCUUUGUUAUAGUACAAAUAAUAGACGUUGUAAGGAACUUUUCCUUCACUUUUUCCAAAUACUUGUCAUUUACGAGAAAUCACCGGUCUACUACUCACUGGAUCGCCAUAGAAGAUUUCUUUCACAAUUGGAAUUUUUCCCUUGCGUCACUCGUAUUUGUUUGCUAUAUCGCAAAAUUAUACGACCACGUGUAUUCUUCCCUUUACCGUAAUUUCUUCUCCGAUCUGUUCCCCUUCAAUCGAAUUCUAUUUUCCAAAGGAUGAAGUAGCUUUAAUUAAAUUUAAUCAAUUAAUAUUUUGUUCUAUGUUUUAAUACAGUUUUCGUAUAACGUAUGUAUAGAUCGUUCGGACGAACUAAUACAUACGUAUAACGGCGAUGACAUAACAUGAUUAGUAAUUAUCUACGCUAGUUAAAUGGCGCCGCAGCGACCCGUUGUCUCAUGUACAUGCGGUUCUCUUCCUUCUAUAUCGUCGAAAUGUAUAUUAUUGUAAUAUAUGGUGCGAUAAAGGAGAAAAAGAAUCUGAUACUUCGAAAACUUAUAAUUCAUAUAAAAAAUAAAUAUUUAGUCGAUAUAGAUUCCAAAAUCAAAGGAUUUUAUUUACGGCGUACGAUAUCGUAAAUAAAUCUUUUCAUGACACACUAAAUGCAUUCUAAAUUUGCCAAGUCAUUUCGAAGGCAUUGGUGUACUUCUUAAUGGAUUAAUUAUCGAUUGAAUCUCGUGUAUGGAUAGUACGAAAAGAAAAGAACGGAAGAACUGGCAAAUUUCUAUUCUGCCUUUCUACGACCAUAGAAAUACUUCUAUCUUCCUUGUAAUAUAGGAAAACAAGAACAAGAAACGGAUGGAACGUUCUUUCAAGAAAAGAGGAAGGAACAGUUCGACACAAUCUGCAAUACAAAAUUUUUAUAAUACGCCUGUCUUGUACUUUGAAACGGAAAGGAUAACGCAUCAAAUAUUUCUUGCAAACGUUAAAAGAAACUUGUACGUUCCCUGUAACUGGCAUUGUAUUUAAUCUAUAUCGGUUAAAUAAUCUGUCACUUUUCCUCGUAAAAUGUUAAAAAUCUUUGAAAUUUUAGAUCAAUCGAAUUUUUUAUCACUCUGUGUAAUAGAAACGCGAUGGUUUCUCAACGGUAUGUAACGGUGCUCAAGUGUGUAACAAACGCAAAUGUUCGUUCGAUAGGUUGCAUAAGUCUAUAUAAAAAGCGCAUAACUUCUCCGAACAAUUUUUCUGAAUCGUACGCCCGCUUAUGGCAAGGAUAAAGACACGUUCCAAGGCACGCAAGUAACUACAUAAGCCUAAUGACGGGUUCUCGAAGAAGGUGCCGCUUUUUUUUCUGUAGAACAGACAACGAACGAAACACAAUGAUUUGUCAGUGCCUUUGAUUAUAAGGAUCGCUAAGAUAGUUGCCUGAAAAUGGUGAUUAAAAGAAGGAACGUUUACGCGCAGCCACCUUACACGGAGCUCGUUAUUAGCAACAGAGUUGUAUUUUACGCUUUGAUCUAACAUCAAAGUUGCUUUCGUUUAUUGACGUGGUUCUAUUUUAUGUCGUACAUUUAGUUCACGGCAAACUGAUUUAUUUGAAUAUCAUCUAGUUUUAGAAUGUUUGCUUUUGACAGAUAUCGUAUUAAUAGUAUCUAUUUGGCAAGACCAUAAUGAUUAUUAAAUUAUUGUCAAAUAUUUUGGCAAAUUUUGUAUCGACGAUACUUGGUAAAACGACGACAAUUGUUAUUAAAUUGUUUUUUAAUUUUGAAUUUUUAAUAUCUCCUAAUUUUAGAACGUUACCUUAGCUUUUGGCUAAAUAUCGUAUUAACGGUACUUGGUAACAUAACAAUAAUUACUCAAUUAUUAAAUAUUACAGUAUUAUGCUACAGGUAUAACGAGUAUCCUGCUAGUAAUAUUUAUUAAGAGGUUAAAAAUAUUUACGAACUUUCAGGAAUGUCACUGUUAAAUUCGAUAUUUAAAGGAAAGACAACAAGAUAGGAUAUUCAGGUUUCUGGGUAAAUGUUUCGAAUUUUAAUAGAGCUUUGCGUUGCCAAAGAAGAUGAAAAAUUUGAGGCAACGCGAUAACCAAAGCAUUACCAUAAAGCGAAGAUGUGCGAACCGUUGAAAUCCUCGCGAAGGAUACACACCAGUAAAUGAUCCUUUAACAUUCAGACGGUGUUCCUGGCCGACUGGAAGCGAUAAUCGGCUUCGAAUAUUUAAGCAAUCACGAGAACCUGGACUCCUGCGUUACGUCAAGAACGUGCGCAAGUAUUCAGAUAACUAUAUGUGUAAGUUACUUGAAUACGAAUUGAUAAUCAACGCUAUUAUUGUUGUUCGAAGAUGGUGAUUCCCACUUUCUCCUUAUCUAUCGGCUGAAUAGAAAAUAGCUGAGAAGUUGCUUAUAGAAUCUUUAAUACCGCGUUACCUUUCAGUUCCAAAAUUUUCUUUUCAUCUCGAUGAAUCUUACACGUUAUUUUCGAUCGUCCAAUUUGGAUUUUGGUAAAAGUAGUAACCUUUUACCGAUUAUGAGAAUCUUCUACUUUGCUAUUACACUUGAGAAGAUGCUUAGCUAUUCUCAAAAAAUACAUUUUUAUAACGCGUUGAGUAUAUUUCUAUUAGCAACGAUACAACUACGACACGCAGCAUACAACAACAAUAGAUGAAAUAGAAUCUUCGUAGAAGCAGCCUGUCGCAGGCAAUGCAGGUGUCAGAAUUUAAUCUUAAAGUUAAGAUAAAUAAUCUAUGGAAGACACAAUGUUUAUGUCGAAAUAAUAUUAGGUGAUGUUUAUUAAACAGAAUUACAGAACCAAAUGUAUUUAAAAUAUGAGUGUUAUGGAUUGUCGACAGUUGGCCAGUUACUCUCAGAUUGACCGUAGGUAGUGACCCAUGGUCCCUUAAAGAUUUUGAACCCCACUCUCUAUACAGUAGUGAGUAUGACCUGUGUAAAUGCUGUUCAAAUGCCUGUGUAGGUGUCUGUAUAAGAUUAUUUGUGUCUAUGUGUGUAAUAUCGUUGUAUUCCAACAGCAGAUGGAUCAAAGACGGAUCAACAUCGAAAAUUCUGUCUUCUUUUAUCUUCACAGCUAUUUAUAAAAAUAUUACAUUAUCGUACUUAUGUAAGCCGAUGUUUUGACGAAGAAAAUGUCCUAUUAGCAAUUGUAAUAUAUACACUGUUAAAAUAUUCAAAGUGCAAAUGUUUUCAAGAAACGGGUUUCGUAAAUCUCUCCCGUAAUUAUGCCAGCUCGCGAAAUAAUAGCACCUACUUAUAAAAUUUAUAAAACGUUAUUAACAUUGACAUUUAUAAAACUUAUGAAGUUUAUAAAACAAUCAGAUGUAUCGGUACAGAGCCUUAUAUCGUUAUCUAACUUGUAGAGAAACGAACGAGCCAAUAAAAGUCAACGUUUCAAGGAACGAACGUGGAGAAUCCCAGUCACGGAAUCCAUUAGCAGGGAAAUAAUGUUAGAAGCGCUGUUGAAAUUCUACGGUAGCGAUCUCGUGCAAUUGCAUUCUCACGUCUAAUUUGUUUAUCGAUAAACUAACGAACCGUUUCCGUGCGUGUCAUUAUCGAUCGUAAAGUAGAUUCGUCCACGAUUUACGAGGAAAUUAAUUAGCCGGCCAGGAUCUCGCGUUUAAUUGUUGCCAAUAGCACGAUUUCGUCGUGUGGUCGUGUCACUUGUCUCGUUAACGAGCGCAUUUCGAGCACGCAACAUUAAAAAGAUUGAGAAGGGAGGAAGAAAAAGAAAUGGGGAAAAUCGAUAGCAUAAUUUGGUGCGUGCGGACGAAACGGGUUUUUCGGCGCGUAAUCGCGCGAGAAUUUCUUUCUGGCAGAAAAUAAAUCUCAACGAGAACGCUUGGAAAACUCGUGCUCCAACGAUCUCAUCGACGUUCAACGAAAACGAUAUUAAAACGAUUCGCGACUCUACUUCGAAUGAUAACCGUCGAGUUGUUCGUUAUUUAUCAGCAGACGAGAUUUUAUAGUGGAGAUAAAGCAGGGAUAAAAUAAAAUAAAUGUAGAUGUAAAUAUACGAAGUUCUUACGAGAGUCGAUUUUUCUUGAUAUUCUGAUUUUCACGUUACUUAGUCAAAGCAACGUUGUGAAAAGAAAGAUUUUAAUAUGAAAUGGUCGAGAAAGGCAAGCGAUAAAUCCACGGUGUUUUAUGAGAAACAAAUAAUAUUUGUUUAUUUAUUACGUUAGUUUAAAUUCAUGACUAUUAAUCUGUAUCUGUAAUAUGUAUGACUAUUAAUCUUUUAGACUCUAAUCUAGUCUAGCAUAGAAGUUAUUUCGUGCUAUGUACCUACAUCGUCUUUGAUGAGUUAAGACUACGACUAACGAAACAGUCAAAAUUCCUGCUAUUUGAUUUUUCAUUAGACUUUUCAUUAGACUUUUCGCUAGAUUCACUUUCGUUUAAUUUGUUUGCUAGAAACACGCGACCCCUUUCGACGAUAUUAAUAUUUACUUCUACGUGUCGAGACACAAAACCCAAUUGCAUAUGCGUUUAUCUACAUUUACCAAUCUAUUUGUUACUGAUUUAUUUAUUUACAUCGUAUUGCUUUAAUUCCAUCGAACCACGUAGAAUAUAUUUAACUACGUGUCAAGGAUCGGAGGUUCCACUGUCAAAACGAUUCGAUAAACAAAUUUUAAAUUGAUGCGAUCAAUGAGCUUUAAACGUAUCCAAUGAGUUCAUCAAACGAAUUAGAUAUAACCAGUUUAAAUUAUUAUGGACAAACGUACGGUCCACAUGAGAUACGAGGACUAACGCGUUAAGGGUUUCAACGAUCAGUUGAUUACUAUAGACACAGGCCAUAGUGACAUCCUGUGGCUAAUUAGAAUUCGCGGAAAGAGAACAGGUCAUGUGUAUUCAGCGCUAGACGACACGCAAAUGUAAAUUUCUACAAACAAGAGUCGACCAGCGUGAUUACUUGUUGCACCUGUCUGUCGCUGAUCGCCUACGUUCAAGUGUAGUUAAAGUUCCAUACGUUUCGUGCUUGAUAGCGAUCACGUGGACAGCGGUGUAUCGAGCAAAUUCAAAUCGAUCCUGUUCCAGAGUAGCCGGUUUAUCGGCGAAAAGCGAAAAAUUCCCGUAGAACAUUCAUCACGCUGUGUUUGACCAUUUCUAUUAAUAUCGUUCCGCCGUGGUAAUAUGUAUCGAAUUAUGUGUAGGUAUAUUAGGUGGUUGAGAAAUUGGACGUAGAGAAAUUGUAGGAUUUAGAGGCAUGUUUUCGUGGAAUUAGUAGUUUAUUAAGUAAUAUAUGCAACGUUUCUUCACGUGGUCGUUUGCUAUGUUUGUAAUUUCGGAGUAUUCUUUGAUCUUUUUGGACAGGUAAUUAACAUUUCCAAACUCUUACAUUUGCAAAUCUUCCAAGUGAUAAAGAUUCAAGCUUCUGAGCUUCCAUAUAAAAAACUUUUAUAUCUUCGACGAUUCAAAUUGUCGAACACCGGAGUUUGUAAAUUUUUAAUUUUUCCAAUUUUCAAACUUUCAAACUUCCAAUCGUCCAACUCUUCUCAUUGCACUGAUAAUUGCUCCGUUCAAAAGAUACGGUAUAAUCUUCUUUUCAAACGAAACAAAGUGCUCGCGAGAAGCAUGAAAAUGAGAGUAAAUGACGAGGAACGUUGAGGAAUAAUAUUCGUAAAAAAAAAAAUGGAAUUUUUAAGUAUCGUUUAGAGCGACGUUGAAGAUAUUUACGACACGUAUCUAUAUGGAGGUUGAUUCGGAGAAUAAAUACGCAGCUGAAUUAUUCCUCGUUGUUAGAAGGCAAGAUUUCGAGGUCACAUUCAUUUCCUUUUUAAUUUAAUCGUGAAUUUUUAUUGAACACAAACUGUACAUCCAUAAUUAAUAUUUUCAUCGAGAUACUAUAUAAUACAUCGUACAUUCAACAUUUAUCCCAUGUCUAUCGAAUAACAACAAAUACUUCUCAACCAUGAAAAAAGACAAGAGAUGCGAAAAUAUUGAAACGUGUGUUUUUACAUCUUUGAACGUUUUGCAUCGUGGUUCGAUGGAAAAAAAAAGGAAUAAAAUAGAACAUUCCGUUAAGAAAGCCAAUGAUAUACUUACUAGAAUAAACUGUAAAUUUAAUUCAUAAGAAUUAUCCAGAAACUGAUGGUUAACGAAUACCGCCUUACUCUAUAACUGUAGAAAAUUAGUAAAAGAUAUUCUUACUGAAAAGAGAAAAGGAUUAAAAAAUUGCCUCUAGGCUCGAAUUUCUCCACAGCUACGCAACUAAAUCGUACAACUUGUAUCUGCAGCACUCUACGAACUCCGUAUCGCUGCGUGUAAGCGAAACAUGGCACACGAUCCGCUAAAUCACCAGGCGAUCCAGUCAAAUUCGAUAAACGUUCUCCUUAAUUGCACCUAAUUCAAAAAGCAGAGCGAUCGUCGAAGUCAGAAAGGCGGAUAAAAAUGGAUAAUGAUUCACGAACAAGAAGGAGACAUCGUUUCCAUCUAUCGAGCGUGGAAGGAUGGUUAUUAAUUAGGCGAACGUGAGACACUCUUUUUGAAUUCUUAGCGGACAGGAACGAGUUGUGUUUAACGGGACGAGUGUUAAUUACUGACGAACGUCUCGACGACGAGGCGUCGUCGUCAUUGACACGCGCGCCAAUUAUCGAACUACAUUUUCCGCGGUAGUUACCAUUAAUUGUUGCUUCGUGAGCGAAUGUCACGAACGACAUAACGACUCGUCAAGAACGUGUCAUCUUUCUUUUUCCCUCUUUAGCUUCGAUAGGAUUUGCUACCAAUUUCGUCUGGAGAAUUAUUACAGGCGCCAAGGAAGUGUGUCAGAGAAAAAGGAGAAGUAGAAAAAGAAAUAACAGGACCAACGAUCUGCUGGAGUAGGAAGAAAAAUAUUCUCUGUCACGAGAGAGGAUAAAAAUCGUACGAAGAAAUUUAUACCCGUAGGAACUCGUAAGCGUGUAGUAAUAUCGUAGUUCAAAAGUAUGCGGAUUUGCUUGUCUUUAACAGGAUGUAAUUUAAUUACUAAAUUACGGAUGAAGAGAUAUGCAAUGAUUCAUCUGGCACUUUGUGUUAUAUGUACGUAUAAUGGCUACAAAAAGUACUGACACGUACCCUACUUUCCUAAUGAAGCGUUUUUUCUAUUAAAUUACACGUUCUAUUUUUAUUGUAUCGAGUUUUUCCGGACGCACGAAAUUGCUAUUAAAUGAUACGAAAUUUAGUAUAUUUGUAUACUUCAAAUAUUUAAGAUAUUUAUUGAUUAAUGCGCGUGUCUACGCAGGAAUAUGUUUAAUUUUCUAAAUUCUGAAUCAAACGAAAAAGAUCUUCUAUGGGCCGACAGAGAAAUGAUUAAAUUAUUUCAAGCAGUGACGACUAAUAUCGGUACAUCACAUCGAUUUUUGUGCAUUUACAGAAAGUUUAAAGGUGCGAAACACACCGAAUGCACGUAAUACGCAAAGCUGUAUAAAACAUGCAACGGUAUGAAACAUAUGUCUGCUCAAGUUCUUUUUCAUUCAGUUGCUGCGUAUAUAAAAAUAUGAAUAUGCAUAAACACGCGCAAAUUGUCAAUAACUUAAACGUGUAUAGUUUGUCAACUCCAAAAAUAGAUAACAACUACUUUUACUCGUCAGUUUCGCACAAAUUCAUAUAACGUUACGACAUAAAUUCAGCAAAAGUGCUCGACCAGCUAUGACCGAAAGUAUGUGCGAAUAAGCAGAAAGAGAAGAAAAUGGAAGAGAAGAAAAAAGGAAGUGUUCCAGCAGAUUGGCGCCAUGCGGCACCGAAUUGCCCCCGUAGUUGACACGACGAGAAAAUUGAUUAUAGAGUAGCGACGGCGGCGCGGCAGAUCGAUUUGAGUCACGAUAAAACUCGAUAUUAUAGCAACCGAUCAACGAUCAAGGUCCUGGGCCGGCACGCUCGAUACACCGAUCGUAAAAUUACUAUGAGUUUAAUUGCUUUUCGAAUAUCUCGUUACCAACUCGGAAACUCGUUAAAAAUCCCAUUGGUAAUGAUACGAUAUGAAUGUGGAUCGGGAGGAGGCGAAAAACAGCCGAGUCAACGAUGAAAUAUCGCUUUUGUGCAGUAGCGAAACAGCUGAGUAACGACCGUUGAUAGAACUGCUGUGAACGUGGCUUAAAACUUUGAGGACCGUAUGCUCCGACAAGCAUAUAGCCUGAAUUCCCGCGUAUUUUUGGAGCGAUCGAAGAGAUUCAAAGAUUUGGUGAUUUUGUGUACAUUUUGCUAUAUUUCACUAUAGUUCGUCUAUUGAUAUUUUAGUUUUCUUCGAUAUACUUUGCUGUCCUGAUGAUGGAAGAAAAAUUAGAAGUAAAAUUUAACUUUCCAAUUUCAAUUAAAGUUUGCCUCGUUAAUUAUAUUUACCCUUCGAUCAACUUUAUUUUGCUAUACUUUGAAAUAAAAUUUCAUUUUCAAGCUUGAAUUUAACGUUGGUAUAUCGUAUCUAUAUAAGGAACACUGCUACAAUGUAUGUAUAUUACAUCGAGCGAUAAAUUUCAAAUUUUGUUAUCGAUUUUGUUAAUUUUGGAUCAAAUACACGCAUAUGUCGAAAGGAUACAGUUGGCUCGAAAAUAACUCAAAGAACGUUUUUAUUACCGAAUUAUGUGCAUAUCUCUCUUCGCACCUUUUUUAGAGCGCUCUUUCACAGAAUAUUUAUUAUUUCUGCUUCUUUCAUAUAAUUUUUAUCGGACACGUUCUUUGCUUAUCACGAUGCACUUUAACUUAUCGAAUCAAUGGAACAAAUCAAUGCCUCUUCGAUGAUUUUGAUAAAGAAUUAAAUCGAUCAAAAUAUUAGGUUGCCCCGAAGGUUUCAUCCGCUUUAUCAAUAAAUAACAGAUGCACGAUAUUUUGUGUUUUAUAUCGUGUUAUCCAGGUGCAUUUUUGUGUCAUUCGUCGAAUUGAAUCUUUUACAGCGAAGAGAAUUUUUCAACGAAAGGAAUAAAUAAUAAUCGCGAGAGGCGGAGAGUAUGGAGAACGAGGCAUAGCAUCACACAAAAAUACUCCCAAGAACAAUAUUCGCCAACAAAGCUCAGAAGUUUUGAAAAACUGGCAUUACAUCGUUCCUGAAGAGACGAUAAGGAAGAUAUUAAAGUUGUUUUCGGUGCUCAUAAAUCGCGAUAGCUAAGCUUCGACAUUCUGCAGCUCUUCUGCUACUUGUUCUAUCGAAAUUACAUUGGAACUUUGCAAAACUGAAUUUCCUCGUAUUACGAGGAGACGGACGUUAAUCGGCUUGGAUAAUCAGUCAGACGAGGAACGUUCGAGAGAGGCUAAUAGCCGAAACGAUGAGGAGUUGGCCGGCUAACGAUGCAGAAGGUGAAACGAUGCACAAAAGGCAGAAAGGGGAAUAUCUGCCAACACCUGAGCAUUCGGGGGAAGCUUUGCGUGUCGCAAUGCACACGAGAAGGUGCACAUGUGUGUUCCUGUUACGGCGAGAGGAGAGGAGAGAAAGAGGUAAAGAGGAGAGGACCUCGUAAGAUAUUGGCUCUCCCCAAACAGGUUUCUUAGACACAUUCUUUCGCGGCUUGAUGCUCGCCAUUCGUGCAACCAGCUUCUUAUUAAUUAUUGCUCGUCUUCGGAUGGAUUAAGACACGAAAUUCAAGACAUCUUCUUCGUGACGCUGAAAAAAUCCUAUUAAGUAUUGUAUUUCGAACAAAACGCGAUUCAUCAGCUGCUUAUCGAAGACACACGUGUCCCAUCAAUUUCUCUCUUUGUCGAAACGAUACGCUUUCAGCUUUCGUUUCUGCUUACUCGGUGCGCGAGUAACGCGUGCAAAAUACUUUAAGAAAUUUUGUCUAAUAGCGUACGUGUGUAAUUAUGCGAUAAAAACGUUUAUCCGCUGUACUCUUUUCUUCUGCUUGUCAUGCUCUUGUAGCCAAUGUUAGUUAAAAUUCUGUAGAAAAUAUGGGUAUAUUAUAUCUCGUAACUAUAAAACCAUACAAGAACUUUCGAUCUUGAAAUGUUAAUGUUACAAGGAACUUGAAAUCGAGUCGAGUAAUAGUUUAUUCUUUUCUAUCCACAGAAGGGAUAAAUUGUAAUAACAACUUUUACAAGUUUAACUGCGCGAUUUUGAGUAAUUUUAGUAAGAUCUAAUCCUGUUAUAUCUUAUCUCUUGCAUCUCUAGCAAUUCCAAGAAUAGUCUUCUUUUAUUUACCGUGCCUUUAUAAACAAUAUCAAUCGAAAUCUUCUUAAAUACUUUUUAAAUACACUUUUUAAAUGUGAGAAUAAUUAAUCGCAAAGCGAGAAAUCUAUUCGACUGAAGAUUUUCGCAUACUACCGUACCUCGACAAACCUUAUUGCACACGUACAUAUUAUACGUAUCUAUGUAACGGUUAUUUAUAAAAUGAACAUGCCGAUGGGAAGCAUGCAAAUCGAAAUAUCGUCGUGGGAUUCGUUGUGCAAAGAUCAAACAUCUUGAAACACUUGGCGCUGAAGAGCCAUAAUAUUUGCAAUAGUCUCAUCUAAGGAAAUAAAGGGUACAAGCAGAGCUAAACGUUGCACGUGUGCACCUUUGGACGAGUUCGAGCCUGACCGUCUGGAUCGGUUGGACCGUACGGAUCGUUUUAUCUCUUCUCGCCGGCUAUGAGAAAGUUGAGAUUACACGGAAAUAAGGCUCGUGGUUGUCGCCUCUCGGUGAGAAGAAUUCGUCUCCAGCGAUUUGCAUACGUUCAAUGUUAACGAACGAAAUUCCUGGCUAGGUACGAGCAUGAGAAGAAAGAAACAACCGUGGAACGUGUUCAGUUCGUGUUAUAUUGACAUCGUUUGUUCGCUACGUUAUGGACGAAGGUACUCGAAGAUGCUUAUAGCUUUGAAUCGUCAACUGGAUUAUUUUUUUUUUUCUUUAAGCGAACCGCACGCUCGCUCGAGAGUACUUUGAGGAAACUCGAUGUUGCUGCGUUGAUGUGAUUAACGUCAUACGGUGGUGGCGAUGUUGUUGAAAUUAAUAAUAUUGGUAGCGUUAUCGACGACGAUAUCGUUAUAUUUAAUUCUAGAAAAACAAAGCUUGAGAUUAGUGGAUAUUGAUACCUUGCGUUUUAAAAUAUUUUUACGAUUCCUCUGGUAUGGUACUGUACCUUCGAUAAAUAGGAGAAAUGAAUUCAAAAUCAGACUCCUUCGACAUCUUGUUAAGGACUCGCGUUACAUCUUGUCGAGCUGAUAAUAACUGAAAUGACAAGUUGUAUUCGCAUUUUGUAAAACUGUCUCUAAUUCCGGCGUUAUGUGCAUUUUACAAAAAUAUAAAGAACACUGUUGACGUUAUUAAUAAUUAAUAAAGGCUAAGUUUCUUUUAGGUAUUUUAAGUUUUAAAUAUUUGAUACUCAUAAAAGAACACAUCGUCGUCCCCUUUUAACCAUCGAUUCAUUCUCUGUGUUAUAAAUGGCAAAAAUUACAUCGCAGAGAAAAUUCUGCCCUAAUUACCAAAAGUAUAAUUUGUAUUAAAAGCUCCCUUAUAUCGAGAAUUCUCCUUUACUCUAAAUAUCGUUUCCUUGAUCUCUACUAUGUUACGUCGAUUAUUACGCUAAUGCGACAACAUCGACUUAUCAUUUUUUAUACCGAAAACUAAUUCAUAUUGAAAGUGUUGCUUUCUCUGAAUAUCGUUUUUCCGAUCUACACGCGAUACUACGCGCUAUACACAAAAAGCUUGUACUAGAAAAAAAGACAUUCCAUGAAUGGCAAAAAGAUGUCAGAGAUUCCACGGCCAACGAGACAUUAAAAGUUGAAGCGUAAAAAUUCGCGAUCCCCGGCGAAAAGAAUGCGAAGAUCGGAAGGACGCACGAUCGAGAGAUUAACGCGUGGAAUUUCCGAAUGAAUGGCAUUUUAUUGCACGCGAGUGAAAUUUGCGUGCCACAAAUAUU